CUACGGGUGGCUCCAGUGGGGAAUAUUGGACAAUGGGGGAAACCCUGAUCCAGCAAUGCCGCGUGUGUGAAGAAGGCCUGCGGGUUGUAAAGCACUUUCGGUUGGGAGGACUGCUUCUAGCACUAAUAUUGUUGGAAGUUGACGUUACCUUCAGAAGAAGCACCGGCUAACUCCGUGCCAGCAGCCGCGGUAAUACGGAGGGUGCAAGCGUUAAUCGGAAUUACUGGGCGUAAAGCGCGCGUAGGCGGCUAGAUCAGUCGGGUGUGAAAGCCCCGGGCUUAACCUGGGAACUGCAUCCGAUACUGUCGAGCUUGAGUACAGGAGAGGAGAGUGGAAUUCGACAUGUAGCGGUGAAAUGCGUAGAUAUGUGGAGGAACACCAAUGGCGAAGGCAGCUCUCUGGCCUGAUACUGACGCUGAGGUGCGAAAGCGUGGGGAGCAAGCAGGAUUAGAUACCCCAGUAGUC
rnacentral:rRNA from 1 species